rnacentral:rRNA from 1 species
UACGGAGGGUGCAAGCGUUGUCCGGAAUUAUUGGGCGUAAAGAGCUCGUAGGCGGUUUGUCGCGUCGACUGUGAAAACUGGGGGCUUAACUCUCAGCUGCAGUCGAUACGGGCAGACUUGAGUUCGGUAGGGGGAGACUGGAAUUCCUGGGUGUAGCGGUGAAAUGCGCAGAUAUCGGGAGGAACACCGGUGGCGAAGGCGGUCUCUGGGCCUACCUGACGCUGAGGAGCGAAAGCCGUGGG